rnacentral:rRNA from 1 species
UCAAGUUAUGAAGGGCCAACGGUGAAUGCCUUGGCGUCUGCUGCCGAUGAAGGACGUGGGAGGCUGCGAUAAGCCACGGGGAAGUGCCGACCAACUGUCGAUCCGUGGAUGUCCGAAUGGGGAAACCCAGCACCCGUAAUGGGGUGUUACUCCGACCUGAACGCAUAGGGUCGGUAGAGGGAACUGCGUGAACUGAAACAUCUCAGUAACGCGAGGAACGUAAAGCAAAAGCGACUCCCUGAGUAGCGGCGAGCGAAAUGGGAUCAGCCUAAACCGUACUGGUGUUAAAGCCCGAUGGCGUUGCCAGUGUGGGGUUGUGGGAACCAACCGAGGGAACAUCGGACCCUCAAGGAGUUACAAAACUGAUGACUAGUGGAAGCGUCCUGUGAACGGCGCGCCGUAGAGGGUAAGAGCCCCGUACACGAAAGUUAUCAGUCUCCUGUUGUGUCUCCCGAGUAACGCCGGAUCCGGGAAAGCCGGCGUGAAUCAGCGAGGACCACCUCGUAAGGCUAAGUACAUGCAGACGACCGAUAGUGAACUAGUACCGUGAGGGAAAGGUGAAAAGUACCCCGGGAGGGGAGUGAAAUAGUACCUGAAACCGUUGGUCUACAAACAGUCAAAGCAGACUUGUUCUGCGAUGGCGUGCCUUUUGAAGAAUGAGCCAACGAGUUACGGUGUGUGGCAAGGUUAACCCGAUGAGGGGAAGCCGGAGCGAAAGCGAGUCUGAACAGGGCGUUCAGUCGCAUGCCGUAGACCCGAAGCCGAGUGAGCUAUCCAUGGGCAGUGUGAAGCGGAGGUAAGACUCUGUGGAGGCGCGAACCGACUUCAGUUGAAAAUGGAGCGGAUGACCUGUGGAUAGGGGUGAAAGGCCAAUCAAACUCGGUGAUAGCUGGUUCUCCGCGAAAUGCAUUUAGGUGCAGCGUCGUGCGUUCAACGAUGGGGGUAGAGCACUGAAUGGGCUAGGGGUCCUACAAGACUACCGACCCCAAUCAAACUCCGAAUACCAUCGUUCCAGAGCACGGCAGUGAGACCUCGGGGGAUGAGCUUCGAGGUCGAGAGGGAAACAGCCCAGACCGCCGGCUAAGGUCCCAAAAUCUGAACUAAGUGGUAAACGAUGUGAGAUUGCGAAGACAGCCAGGAGGUUGGCUUGGAAGCAGCCAUCCUUGAAAGAGUGCGUAACAGCUCACUGGUCGAGUGAUCUUGCGCGGACAAUGUAACGGGGCUCAAGUUCAGUACCGAAGCCGCGGAUGCGACUCUUUGAGUCGUGUGGUAGCGGAGCGUCGAGCGUGCAGCGAAGCGGCGGGACAACCCAGCCGUGGAGCGCGUUCGAGUGCGAAUGUUGGCAUGAGUAGCGAAUGAGGGGUGAGAACCCCCUCCGCCGUAUGUCCAAGGGUUCCUGGGCGAGGCCAAUCCUCCCAGGGUGAGUCGGGAGCUAAGGCGAGGCCGAGAGGCGUAGUCGAUGCACAACUGGUUGAUAUUCCAGUACCACCAUGUUCGCGUCCGUCCCAAUACUCUGUUGCUAAGGGGCUGUGUUGACUUCGGUCAACGCGAACCGACCCACAUUGUUGCGGGAAGCUGUAGGGGGACGCAGGAAGGUAGAUGAACCCGGUGAAUGGUAGAACCGGGGUAAGCGUGUAGGAGGAGGACCAGGUAAAUCCGGGCCUCAUAAACUCUGAGACGUGAUACCGAGCCGCUUCAGGCGAAGUCAUUGAUCCUAUGCUGCCUAGAAAAGCCCAGCAGCGAGUUGACAUGGUGCCCGUACCCCAAACCAACACAGGUGGACAGGUAGAGCAUACCAAGGCGAGUGGGAUAACUAUGGUUAAGGAACUCGGCAAAUUGCCUCCGUAACUUCGGGAGAAGGAGGACCCCAGUAGCGUGAUGAGACUUGCUCUCUGAGCGUGAAGGGGUGGCACAAAAUUGAGGGAAGCGACUGUUUACCAAAAACACAGCAGCGUGCUAAGCCGUAAGGCGCUGUAUACGCUGUGACUCCUGCCCGGUGCUGGAAGGUUACGGGGAUGGGUUAGUCCUUCGGGACGAAGCUCUGAACCUAAGCCCCAGUAAACGGCGGCCGUAACUAUAACGGUCCUAAGGUAGCGAAAUUCCUUGUCGGGUAAGUUCCGACCUGCACGAAUGGCGUAACGACUUCCC